rnacentral:rRNA from 1 species
UGGGGAAUUUUGCACAAUGGGGGAAACCCUGAUGCAGCGACGCCGCGUGAUUUAGAAGGCCUUCGGGUUGUAAAAAUCUUUUCUAUGGGAAGAAAAUGACAGUACCAUAGGAAUAAGGACCGGCUAAUUACGUGCCAGCAGCCGCGGUAAUACGUAAGGUCCGAGCGUUGUCCGGAAUCAUUGGGCGUAAAGGGUACGUAGGCGGGUAAGCAAGUUAGAAGUGAAAUCCUAUAGCUCAACUAUAGUAAGCUUUUAAAACUGCUCAUCUUGAGGUAUGGAAGGGAAAGUGGAAUUCCUAGUGUAGCGGUGAAAUGCGCAGAUAUUAGGAGGGAUAACGGGGGCGAAGGCGACUUUCUGGCCAUAACCUGACGCUGAGGUACGAAAGCGUGGGUAGCAAACAGG